rnacentral:pre_miRNA from 3 species
GAAUCAAUCCGGCAUUAUAAACAAUUCAAAGGCAAUUUUUAGAAUGAAAGCAAGCAAUUCUCUAUGAAUCCUUUACAAUGCCCAGAAUAA